GCAGUGCGAAGCUCUUGGCUGACAGUGGUGCCUGCUAAUUUCCACUGCAAGGAUUUCGUCAACGAAUGUUAUCAUAGGUUACGCGCGACUCCAGAGGCAAUUUGGAAUAUCGGCAAGAAAUCGUCGGAUGAAAAUCUGAGGUGCCCGACGCGCAACAUUUUGAACGUGCCACGGAGGAUCAAGGCAAAAAACGAGAGCAAAAAAGGUAAGUCGAGGUUCAGAUACAAAAAAUAGCAAGCCUACUGAAUCGAUUGUGCAGCUGUCCUACUGCGCUUACUCUGAUAUAACCACGAUUAACAACACAAUAGUAUUGAUAAUCUAACUUCUGAAUUGUCACAGGUGCACGCUGAAGGCGGAAAUGAAAAAUGAUCUGGCUUGCAUCUGGUGCAUGAAGAAAUUGCUGGCACGUUAGUUGCAGUCUACCUCCACCAACAGGGUGGAAAACAAAGGUCGCCAUUCCGAUUAGCUGCUAUCUCCCAGUUCAAGCACUUUUGCUGUCUGGACACUGGUUCCUGUGGAUGGGCUGUUACAAGCUUCACUGUCUGAUAUAGAAGUGAUGAGCAUCCAUAAGGACACAUGGCAGAAAGGGAGUCUCUUUGAGAUGACAAACCCUC